rnacentral:sRNA from 1 species
GCGGGAGGCAGGCACCUGAUCAGGCGGGCUGCCGUUGAGGGGGGAGAGGCCCGACGCU